rnacentral:tRNA from 1 species
UGCCUUUUAGCUGUUAAAGUGUUGUGAUUUCGGCUCAUAGAGAAUGGAUAUUAUCCAUAAAGGUAA